UGCUACAGGCUUAACACAUGCAAGUCGAGGGGCAGCAUGGUCUUAGCUUGCUAAGGCCGAUGGCGACCGGCGCACGGGUGAGUAACACGUAUCCAACCUGCCGUCUACUCUUGGACAGCCUUCUGAAAGGAAGAUUAAUACAAGAUGGCAUCAUGAGUCCACAUGUUCACAUGAUUAAAGGUAUUCCGGUAGACGAUGGGGAUGCGUUCCAUUAGAUAGUAGGCGGGGUAACGGCCCACCUAGUCUUCGAUGGAUAGGGGUUCUGAGAGGAAGGUCCCCCACAUUGGAACUGAGACACGGUCCAAACUCCUACGGGAGGCAGCAGUGAGGAAUAUUGGUCAAUGGGCGAGAGCCUGAACCAGCCAAGUAGCGUGAAGGAUGACUGCCCUAUGGGUUGUAAACUUCUUUUAUAAAGGAAUAAAGUCGGGUAUGCAUACCCGUUUGCAUGUACUUUAUGAAUAAGGAUCGGCUAACUCCGUGCCAGCAGCCGCGGUAAUACGGAGGAUCCGAGCGUUAUCCGGAUUUAUUGGGUUUAAAGGGAGCGUAGAUGGAUGUUUAAGUCAGUUGUGAAAGUUUGCGGCUCAACCGUAAAAUUGCAGUUGAUACUGGAUAUCUUGAGUGCAGUUGAGGCAGGCGGAAUUCGUGGUGUAGCGGUGAAAUGCUUAGAUAUCACGAAGAACUCCGAUUGCGAAGGCAGCCUGCUAAGCUGCAACUGACAUUGAGGCUCGAAAGUGUGGGUAUCAAACAGGAUUAGAUACCCUGGUAGUCCACACGGUAAACGAUGAAUACUCGCUGUUUGCGAUAUACAGCAAGCGGCCAAGCGAAAGCGUUAAGUAUUCCACCUGGGGAGUACGCCGGCAACGGUGAAACUCAAAGGAAUUGACGGGGGCCCGCACAAGCGGAGGAACAUGUGGUUUAAUUCGAUGAUACGCGAGGAACCUUACCCGGGCUUAAAUUGCAGAUGAAUUACGGUGAAAGCCGUAAGCCGCAAGGCAUCUGUGAAGGUGCUGCAUGGUUGUCGUCAGCUCGUGCCGUGAGGUGUCGGCUUAAGUGCCAUAACGAGCGCAACCCUUGUUGUCAGUUACUAACAGGUUCCGCUGAGGACUCUGACAAGACUGCCAUCGUAAGAUGUGAGGAAGGUGGGGAUGACGUCAAAUCAGCACGGCCCUUACGUCCGGGGCUACACACGUGUUACAAUGGGGGGUACAGAGGGCCGCUACCACGCGAGUGGAUGCCAAUCCCAAAAACCUCUCUCAGUUCGGACUGGAGUCUGCAACCCGACUCCACGAAGCUGGAUUCGCUAGUAAUCGCGCAUCAGCCACGGCGCGGUGAAUACGUUCCCGGGCCUUGUACACACCGCCCGUCAAGCCAUGGGAGCCGGGGGUACCUGAAGUGCGUAACCGCGAGGAGCGCCCUAGGGUAAAACUGGUGACUGGGG
rnacentral:rRNA from 1 species